AGUGAACGCUGGCGGUAGGCCUAACACAUGCAAGUCGAACGGCAGCACAGUAAGAGCUUGCUCUUACGGGUGGCGAGUGGCGGACGGGUGAGGAAUACAUCGGAAUCUACUUUUUCGUGGGGGAUAACGUAGGGAAACUUACGCUAAUACCGCAUACGACCUACGGGUGAAAGCAGGGGAUCUUCGGACCUUGCGCGAUUGAAUGAGCCGAUGUCGGAUUAGCUAGUUGGCGAGGUAAAGGCCCACCAAGGCGACGAUCCGUAGCUGGUCUGUGAGGAUGAUCAGCCACACUGGAACUGAGACACGGUCCAGACUCCUACGGGAGGCAGCAGUGGGGAAUAUUGGACAAUGGGCGCAAGCCUGAUCCAGCCAUACCGCGUGGGUGAAGAAGGCCUUCGGGUUGUAAAGCCCUUUUGUUGGGAAAGAAAAGCAGCAGGUUAAUACCCCGCUGUUCUGACGGUACCCAAAGAAUAAGCACCGGCUAACUUCGUG
rnacentral:rRNA from 1 species